rnacentral:rRNA from 1 species
GGGGUUGUAGGACUCAAAUGUGGUAGUAAGCAAGAUAGCCGAAUGACUUGGAAAAGUCAGCCAAAGUGGGUGAAAGCCCCGUAGGCAAAAUUUUGUGAGCACCUAUGAGGAUCCUGAGUACGGCGGAACACGAGAAAUUCCGUCGGAAUCUAGGAGGACCAUCUCCUAAGGCUAAAUACUCCCUAGUGACCGAUAGCGAACCAGUACCGUGAGGGAAAG